CCUACGGGAGGCAGCAGUGGGGGAUAUUGCACAAUGGGCGCAAGCCUGAUGCAGCCAUGCCGCGUGUGUGAAGAAGGCCUUCGGGUUGUAAAGCACUUUCAGCGGGGAGGAAGGCGGUGAGGUUAAUAACCUCAUCGAUUGACGUUACCCGCAGAAGAAGCACCGGCUAACUCCGUGCCAGCAGCCGCGGUAAUACGGAGGGUGCAAGCGUUAAUCGGAAUUACUGGGCGUAAAGCGCACGCAGGCGGUCUGUCAAGUCGGAUGUGAAAUCCCCGGGCUCAACCUGGGAACUGCAUUCGAAACUGGCAGGCUAGAGUCUUGUAGAGGGGGGUAGAAUUCCAGGUGUAGCGGUGAAAUGCGUAGCGAUCUGGAGGAAUACCGGUGGCGAAGGCGGCCCCCUGGACAAAGACUGACGCUCAGGUGCGAAAGCGUGGGGAGCAAACAGGAUUAGAUACCCCGGUAGUC
rnacentral:rRNA from 1 species